rnacentral:rRNA from 1 species
GAUGAACGCUGGCGGCGUGCCUAAUACAUGCAAGUCGAGCGAACAGAUCAGGCGCUUGCUCCUUUGACGUUAGCGGCGCACGGGUGAGUAACACGUGUGUCCCCUCCCUAUCAGACUGGUAUCACUUCGAGAAACCGGCGCUAAUCCCGGAUAACCUCUUGCACCGCAUUGUUCUAUAGUGAAAGAUGGUUGUGCUAUCACUUAUCGAUGGACAUGCGCCGUAUGAGAUAGUUGGUACGGUAACGGCUUAUCACGGCGACGAUGCGUAGCCGACCUGAGAGGGGGAUAGGCCACACGAGAACGGAGACACGGUCAAGACUCCUGCGGGAGGCAGCAGUAGGGAAUGUGCCGCAAUGGGCGAAAGCCUGACGGAGCAACGCCGAGUGAGUGAUGAAGGGGCUCGGCGCGUAAAACUCUGUUAUUAGGGAAGAACAAAUGUGUAAGUAACUGUGCACGUCUUGACGGUACCUGAUCAGAAAGCCACGGCUAACUACGUG